UUCAACUGUUUGGUAACAACACACUGCUUUUCAAAACUGCUGUAAUAGUUUACAGUCCUCCGGCAGUUUAUGAUGGUUUUCAUCACUUCAAAACCUUGCCAGCACUUGGUACUUUCAGACUUUAAUUUUAUUCAUUUUGUGGGUGUGAAAUGGUAACACAAAUAUAAGUUAAUUUGCAUUUCUCCUGGUGUUAAUGACAUUAAGCAUCUUUUCCUAUUUUUAUAUCCCAUUCAGGUUUUCUAUUUUGUGGUGCCUGCUUUUUUUUCCCCCCUCAUUUUUCUCUUGGGCUUUUUGUUUUGUGAGAAUUCCUGUAACUGUAGUAUCUAAUCUCAUUAGGAAUUAUUCUAUCUCCUACAACUUCUAAGCGCAGUAACAGUGCAAGUCUGUGAUAAUCCUUCACAGGAAAAAAGAAAAAAAAAAGGGCACUGGAAGGUUUUGCUUUGCUGUUUCGUAUUAUUAAUUGGGAUAGUUUCAACUCCCACAAAGAGAAAAGCAAGGCAUGAGCACUCACCCAUGCUUAUUGACUUCCUAGGCUCUAAGUGCAGUGGGUAUUAACUGAGCGGAUUGACUACAAGAUUGCAGCCUUCUCUCGCCUUGCACUUCAUCACUCCAAACGAUGUCAUUCCCAAUGCAGGACUGACAGGCACUCAUGUCCAGCCUCGGCUCUAUAUCCCUAAUCCAUUAGUAUUGGCUCGAGGUCAGCUUUUUGAAGACAAGAUCAAUUCUAAUACAGUUACAUUGACUUCUUUGUCUAUCAGGGAGUAGAUAGAAAGUUGAGAGGGAUCAAUAAAUUCCAAACAACAAAUCAGAAAAUACAUAGCAUAUAGAAGCCAGUUAGCAUGCAUGGAUUUCUCUGUGCUAGUCAUUGAUUAAAAUAUAGGUAGUCCAGAAAUAAUGAGUUUGGAUCCAUACCUGAAAGCCAAAAUGGAAAUCAACUGUUCAAGCUACGUCUUUAGCCGAAUAGAAAAUAGGAAAUGACACAAUCCUUGGCCUUGGGAUCAAAAUCUUACAUUUUCUGGGUCAGUGUUACCAUUUCAGACCCAGUUUGUGUCUUUUUAUAAAGUGUUUUUCUCAGGCUAGUCUAAUUUCCUUGUACAGGGGAGUAUAUGGUCCUUUGUACAUAUUUUCCAGACUUCACAAAUUAUUGCCCUCUACCUGUCAACUCCACCAUCAUCAUAAAUUUCCUUCCUAUCUCUUUUCUGCCUAUAAAAACCAUCUUCAACCCAAGGCCCUGCCCAAAUCUGCAUCUUCUAUGAAGUCUUUCUUCAACUUCAUUGCUCUGAAUAGACACUCAAGCUGUCAAAAUCAUGUAGCACUUCUUAUCAUUAGCACUAAUUUGGAGCACGUCUGCCUUAUUAUUCCUGCCUUGCAUGGUUAGUUUUCUAUCUUUGUUUGUUACCCACCAAAAUAAGGACAUCUGAAAGUCUGGGACUGUGUCUGAGGUAUUGAUGUACAUCUGACACACAUAGAAUAUUGCCUGAAUAAAACUACAUGCCUAACUAAAACUCAUUCAUUCAUAUAGACAUGAGUUACUCUCAUACCUCUCAGUGACAACAUGUUAAUUAAUGUUGACCAAUCUCCUCCACUAAGAUCCUGCUCUCCUUUUAACCUGAGGAGACAAGCCUGGCAAUUUCUAUAUGUCUGUUCUGUUCUUCUUCCACCCAUCCAGACUGUAGUUUUAUCUUUUAAGGUGAGUAUUCUCUAUUAAACAAAGAGUAAUCAAGCUAAAAUAGCCUAUGUAGUCCUGCUGAAAUGUCUGACCUAACAAGCACCCUAUUUCUUCCUAAAGUCUAGUGACACAUCCUGGUAUCUGAGUUUCUUAAAUAAGAAACGCUAGUUUCUUAUUUCUAAACCUCAUUACAGAUAUCCUAAACCCUUCUAAAGGUAAGACAAUCAAGUUCUUGUAGAAUCUUGAGCUGUCUCUGAGUCUGACAACUUAUGGAGAUGAUCAUUAUUGUAAUAGUAAACAACUUCUGUAAAAAAAAAGCUUCAUAUAAUGCUUACUAUACACUAGGUACAAUUCCUAGUGCUUUAAAAAUAUUAACUCAUUGAAUUUUCAUUAAGAACUCCAUUAGGCAGGUACUAGUACUGUGCUGAAUAUUCCCAUCUCCCCCAUUCUUCACCUGUUUCAGCGCCCCCUGGAGCCUGACCUCAUCAACCAGUCUUCUUGGUUCUCUGACUCAUCAUUGAGUUCAGCCUGUAGGAGACACCAACAGUAUAUAGAGGAGAGAAAAGUCAAUAUUUUACUUCAUUAGCUGCCUUUCUGCCAGCUGCACUUUGACAAUACAUACUUUUCUCUGCCAAAGUCCUCAAUUCCAUAGCUAGCCCACUCCUACAGUUACAACUCUCCUGAGAUUCUAUUCACUACCCUCUCCCCUUGCCUCUUUAGACCUAGGCAGGCUAAGAUGUUUUUAUUAUCAAAGUACUUUACUGUUCGUUAUUAGUUUUUCUUAAGCCUGCUCACGAGUUUGUGAAUAUUCCUUUUACUAAAAUCUCUUACAUUGCCCCUUUUUAGUAUACUGUCUGACUGUCUGAACCCCAAUCAUUACAAGACAGGAAACUGAGGCACAACAAUAUUAAGUGCCUUGCUUAAGAUUAUACAACUAGUGAGUCACAGAGUAGCGUUCAGAUCCUGGCUGUGUGGUUCCACAAUAUGUUCUCUUAACAGUACACUAUGUUGUCUCUGACUCUGUGUGUCUCCAAAUGUAGCCAAACAACUGUCUUUCAACUCUGAGAUAGGCCUCCGAUUUCUCCUUGCCAGCCGAAGUCAAGAGUAAAGUAACGGCUUCUUCCUUUGCCAGGAGAGAAAGAUCAUCAGAUCUAUUUUAGAAAGAAACGUGGGCAGAGUUAACCAAGAAAAAGGAAAGUUUCCCUUUGGGCAGUGGUUUUCUUAAAAUCUUCUGGGUUCUACCGCUACCUGUUUUGCAUUUAAACAGGAGAGAUAGGAACAAAUUUAAGAAUAAUUAAGCAGAGAACAGAAUUAAAAACAAGAGACAAGUGAGUAAUAGCUAGAGCUGAAAGUCAAAAUCCCAACUGGACACGUCAAAGGCUCAACCAGUCCUUAGUUCAAACUAAAACCAAUAGUGAGCUUGAAUUUUAAUCUAGAAAGGGACUUUGGAAAGGAAACUCCCAUAAAAUUACUCAAGGUGGCUGAUGAGACAUUUCAUUGAAAUCCUACAAUAAAUCCCUCAAAUUCUACAGUUAAAUUACAAGGAACCACUGCAAAUCAGUUGCAAUGAUUCUUCCUGCAAUUCACCGACAAGACAAUAUUGUUUUAAUGCCACUAUGUAUUAAAUGCCUACUCUAGGUGAAGAACUUUAUCCACUUGCAUAUCAUUGUUAAAUUUCUCACAGCUUUGAAAAGUAUUUAAAAUUAGCCCCAUUUAUCAGGUAGGCAGUGGAGGAUCUACUUCUUAAAUUAUUUUCUUAAAAUCAAAAUAUGAGCACAGAACCAGGAUUCAAAAAUCAAGAAUGACCUUAAAUAUUGUGUGAUGGGUGUGUGUGUUAAUUAUUAUUAUACUCACAGAUGUAGAAGAACACAAUCAUUCCAAAUCUGAUGCCUUGGGAAAGAUGAAAACCACCGUGAAUUCUACUUAAGCUUUUUCCCAGUUCUACAGUACACGUGUCAUUUUGCCUGACUUUUGAGAUUAUGCAAAUGCAAUAAAAUGAAUUUUUUAUAGUUGCCUGAAAACAACCACAAGCGAGGUAAUAUUCAGCGUCACAGAUUUCCUCUUAUUCGCAUUACAACCUUUCAAGGUCAGCAUUCCUAUCUCAAAUUUUCAGAGAAGGAAAUAGUCACAGCAAGAUUAAGAACAAGACAGAUGGUAACAGAAGUCUAAAAGCCUGCGACAUCUUGAGUAAAAAGAAGAAAUGUAACUCCAAAACACCUCAGAAGACAGAAGAUUGGAAUGUAAUGUUUUUGUAUCCUGAAGGAAGAAGAAAUGGAAGUUGAGGUGUUCUUGAAGGUUUUACUAAAGGCUGAGAAAAGGACAGGAGAAGAAACUGGGUGCAGAAUUGGUUUUUCCCUCUUCUUCCUACCUGAGCCAUCCAGACAGCACAGCUGCCCCACAGGACAGAGGCUGCUGCCACAGAGCCUGUUCUUUGGAUUCUGGAAGACACGGUGUAGAAUGUAAUGCUAGGGGUUUGCAAGAAUAUUACUGACAUCUUCCCAAAUGAAACCUUCGCCCUUUAUUUUAAUCAUUGUUGCCUCUGUAUCUGAAGCAUCUAGAAGAAUGAACGGUACGGAGCAGACACUCAAGCAGUAUUGGCUGAAUAAAUAAUUGACUGACGCCUUAUCAAAUCAAUACCUACUAACUUUAGAAAUUUUGGAAAAUACAUGUGUGCAUGCACAUGUGCAAUAUUACCAUCCUGAUUAUCACCGUUAACAUUUCAGCGAAAUAUUUUUGGAAGAUUCCAUACUAACGUUGUUGAAUCUCCUAAAGAGAUCAUGAUGAUUGAAUCCUGGAAAAGUUAAUCAAGGCAGUCAAGAGGGCCAGGGACAGGCAAAAAACUGAUUUGAAAGAGAAGCUGAGAGGAAACUUUAGGAUGAAUCUUUUCAAAUAAGUUCAAGCAGGCCAAUAGAAUCAUUUACUCCAGAAAAUCUCACUAAGGUGCCUUCAGGAACACAGUAUGAAGGAAAAGAAGAUUGUGUCUGACUGUAUGAAAAAAAAAAAGCUAUAGGUCUUGAAGUUUCUGUUUAUGGCAGAUAAUAUAUAGCACUUGACCUCUCUCACCCUGUAAUCUAUGAAUCUCUAUUAUUUCCCUUGAUAUGUACCAGCCUCAAAUUUGAUUCUACUUUGACUGGCAGUGAGAGUUGUUCACACUCCAAUAUUUACAGAAAACAUCAAUUUCCAGAAGCCUAGAUAUUUAUGAAUUAUAUUAGAAUUAUUUGUGUGAUAUACAGCAAAUGUAUUGCUGACCUAGUUAGAAUUCUUUCAAAAGUGCUUUGUUAGUGCAUUUGAGAAGCUUAAUGUGCAGGGUGGCCUGUUUAGAGUAGGUUCCAAUUAAUUCAUCAUGUCCAGCUAUAGUGACAGCUACUUUAAGUUUUGGGCCAAGAACAAGUUUAUUCAAUCCCAAAUCUGUACAUCCAUUCUGCCUAGAAGGUAACCUCAUUGCACGUCACCUAGCAGUGGCCACAACCCCCUGGGCUGAGCAGAUUUCUUCCCCUUCUCCAACAACCUCCCUUUGCUCAGCACAUGUCUGUAUUCUCAUUCCUGAUCAUCGCUGAUCUACUCGAAACCUUAUUUCAAAGUCCCUAAUCCUGGCCAGGAGUGAUGGCUUAUGCCUGUAAUCCCAGCAUUUUGGGAGGCCGAGGUGAACAGAUCACUUGAGGCCAGGAGUUCGAGACCAGCCUGGCCAACAUGGUGAAAACCCGUCUCUACUAAAAAUACAAAAAUUAGCCAGGCAUUAUGGUACAUACCUGUAAUCCCAGCUACUUGAGAGGUUGAGGCAGGUGAAUUGCUUGAACCCGAGAAGUGGAGGUUACGGUGAGCAGAGAUCAUGCCACUGCACUCUAGCCUGGGCAACAGAGCAAAACUCUGUCUCAAAAAACAAACAAACAAAAACAAAAACAAAACAACCUGAUAUUUUCUUUGUUCAUUAUGAUCCCAUCCAUUUUCCAAUUAGGGAGUUUCCAAAAUUAUAACUUCUCAAAUUAUUGUGCUUUGACUAACCAGUAAAUAAAUCUCUAAGCAAAAGAAUGGCUUAAGAAAAUAUGUGUGCUAGGACAGGAAAGUGCCUGGCCACAGAGCCAAAGCUCAAAAAUAUUAAAACAAUAAAGAAGAAAAAUAGAAGAUCAAAUCCACAUCAGUAAUUCAUUCAACAAAUAUUAAUUGAAGGCUUACUAUAUGCCAGAUACUUGGGUCAGGGCUGAUGGUGAGCAAAACAGAUGGAAUCCCUGCUCUGAGGAAUCUCACAGUCUACGGUGGACAGAAAUAUCAGUCAAGUAACUGAAAGAGAAAUGUAAAAUGGCAAAAUGUACAACAGUUUAGAUGUGUUACUAGUAUGACAGUAUUUGAUUAUAAGAUGUGAUAUAGCCAUAAAAUAUUGUUAAAGGAGUAGCAUGUAUUAAGGCUAUGGGAAGAGGGGAGCAGCAUUGUGUGUUUGAACAAAGGAAGGAAGGCUGGUGUGGUUGGAACUGAGAGAGAUUAGCUUAGAGAGGAAAAUAGGGACCAGACAAUUCUGGGGCUUUUAAGACAUGUUCAACUACAUGCACAGGGAAGCGGAUUUACAUAGGAUCUCAAACUGACAUUUAGUCACAUGAUUUGCCUGCACAAUUUGUCCAUACAUAGUAUUGAUACUUCUUUUAUGUUAGAGAUGCUGAUGAAAGGAAAUGAUUGAAUGGAAAUGGGGUGAGCUAGUCUGUGUAUUGAACUUCAACACAAGGUCCUGAUAUGAGUGCUUCAAACCCAAUACCUUGCAUUCUUCUUCCCACCUGGUUUCUUUUUAUUUUUAAAUUUCAACUUUUAUUUUAGAUACAGCAGGCCCACGUGCAGGCUCAUUGCAUGGGUAUAUUGUGUGAUGCUGAGGUAUAGUGUACUCAUCCUAUCACUCAGUUAAUGAGUAUAAUACCCAUUAGGUAGUUUAGCAAUACAAUCCCACCUCCCUUCUGCCCCCUCAGUAGUCCCCAGUGUCUAUUGUUCCAAUAGUUAUGUCCAUGUGUGCUCAGUAUUUAGCCCCCACUUACAAGUGAGAACAUGCAGUGCUUGGUUUUCUGUUCUUGCGUUAAUUCAGUUAGGAUAAUGCCCUCCAGCUGCAUCCAUGUUGCCGCAAAGGACAUGAUCUCAUUCUUUUAUGGCUGCAUAGUAUUCCACGGUGUAUAUGUACCACAUUUUCUUUAAAAAAAAAAAUAGUUUUCUGUGAGUGAGUUUAGCAUGCAGUGAUGCACUGCAUCAUCUUUUGUUUGUGGUUGCAACAACGUGUCGCUGUACGCUGUCCUGUGGCGUUAGCUAGAGGUGGCCCCUUGAAAUUACUUAUGUCUCCCAGUUGAUAAUCACAGUAGAAUUAGCUGGAGACAUUCACAGAGAUGUCCUGUCACAUAUCUGAUUUUCAGGAGGUCUAGAGUUACUGUGGAGGAAAACAGAUUUGAAACUUGGUUUUGACUCAUGUCUGGAAAAGUAUAGAAAAAAUGCAAUUGGCAGAAUUCAGAUUUUAAAUGUGGCAAGAGCCUGAGGGUAUUAGAAUUCAAAAUUUUGGAGAGAGAGGGUGCUAUAGUAAAGCACAAAUACUGCAUCUUUUAGAGGCCCAUCCACUCUGCUUGAGACUCACACUUCAAAGAGGGGUUUGUGGAGGGUAUUCUCCAUUCGACAGAAAGGUGGAGCUGGAGAAACGUGAGAAAUAAAGCAGAUUAAGUCAAGGGGUCUUAAAAGUUAGGAAAGUAGGCUGGGCACAGUGGCUCAAGCCUGUAAUCCAGUGCUUUGAGAGCCCAAGGCAGGGGAAUUGCAAGGUCAGGAGUUCGAGACCAGUCUGACCAACAUGGUGAAACCCCAUCUCUACUAAAAAUACAAAAAUUAGCUGGGCGUGGUGGUGCGCACCUGUAAUCCCAGCCACUCAGGAGGCUGAGGCAGGAGAAUCACUUGGACACUGGAGGCAGAUGUUGCAGUGAGCUGAGAUUGUACCACUGCACUCCAGCCUGGGCAACAGAGUGAGACUCUGUCUCAAAAAAGAAAAAAAAAAAGAGCAAAAGAGUUAGGAAAGUAAUGAGGUUGGCCCAGAAGGACUAGAGAGACCUCAGCAGACAGAUCUCUGCAGACAGACAGACUCCCACAGCAAGGGAGGAAUGCCAGUGGGAGGGGAAGAAGGAGCAGGACUGAAGGCACAGACUAGAGCUUGGAGGACAAGACAAGGAAACCUGUCCUGUGUUCCUCUGGGUACUCCAAGGUACAUGAUCUGCUAUGUGAGCAUAGAAGCUGUUGAUCUAGUAUAUGCAGGAAAAAGUGGACAGUUGUCAUCCUCAGAACUUACCUGCUAGUGGGAUUUAUGGGACAACCCAGUUCUGUUGUGCUAGACUAUCUAGCUCUAUGCUUGAAACAUACAUAGAUAAUAUUGUUCAUGUGUGCGUAUAUGUGUGUGCAUGUACGUGUGUGUGUGUGCAUGGUCAGUUGUACCAGCAAGAGUAAUAUAAUGGUUCAAAGAUCCUCAUCUUGGAAAAUGCCUCAUGCUAUGAAGUUGAAUACUGCAUAUCACCAGAUAUCAAAGUCCCAUAAGAGGGUAAAAUCACCUUUAAAUUGAGAACUGAAGUUAUAUUUGUGGGCCCUCUUCUAUCUCCUUGUGAGACAUCCUUGUGCUAAUCUGGAUGCGAAACUUGCGUGAUAGGAGAAGACACGCUGAACCGGAAGGUCUGUGCAAUGUGGAAGGAGGUGUGCUUUUCAUGUCUCUUAUACUCAUUGAACCAUGAGUGCAAAAUGGCUUCACCUGUGCCACAGUACUUGGCGGGAUCAUGAUGUCAAUUAGGUUUCAUGAGACUCUGUAAAGCAAAUUUGUUUAUUUGCUCACUGAGUUAUCCAAAGACAAAAGGAGGACUGUGCCUCCAGCACAAUAAUUAAUUAUAAAGUCAUCACACAUAUUUCAUUAAUGUUGGCUGGCUUCUCAGAAGUCCCUCUCAGAGGGCAGGGGCCAUGUGUAAGUAUAACUCUAUUUAGCAUCUACUAAAAAGACACUUUGAUUGGAAUCUGUGUGAUCAUAAACUUCUUUACUAGGUUGUGUGUUCCUUGAAGGAAAGGAUUUUAUCUUUCAUUUAUUCAAUAAAUAUUUAUAACUUUAUAAAGUAGUAAAAAAUACCAAAAAUAUCUUCAUGCAGCUUAUGUUCUGUUUUUUAAAAUUUAAUUAUUUUUAAUUGGUAAAUAAUAAUUAUAUAUAUUUAUGGUGUGCGAUUUGUUAUAUGUAUAUAAUUGCAGAAUGAUUAAAUCAAGCAAUUAAAAUAUUCAUCACCUCACAUAUUUAUCAUUUCUUUGUGGUAAGAAUGUUUAAACCUAGAAGGACCCUAUAAAAUUGAACUUUAUACUCUUUCACCAGCAUCUCCCCUUUACCUAUUCACCUGUCCCCAGCUCCCCAGCCUGUGAUAAUGACCACUCCACUCGUUACUUCUACUGAGUUUGACUAUUUUAGAUUCCACAUAUAAGUAAGAUGAUGCAGUAUUUGUCUUUGUCUUAUUUCAUUUAAUGUAAUGUCCUCUAGAUUCAUCCAUGUUGUCACAAUGACAGAAUUUCCCUCAUUUUUAAGGUUGAAUUGUAUUCCAUUUGUGUAUAUAUACCACAUUUUCUUUUUUUAUUCAUCUUUUUCCUGAACACUUGGGUUGCUUCCAUAUCUGUGCUAUUGUGAAUAAUGAUGCGAUAAACAUGAGAGUUCACGUAUCUCCUAGACACAGCAAUUUCAAUUCCUUUGGUUUUCUACCCAGAAGUGGGAUUGCUGAAUCACAUGGUAAUUCCAUUUUUAAUUUUCUGAGGAGCUUUCAUACUAUGGCUCUGUAAUAACUAUACUAAUUUAUAUUCCCACCAAUAGUGUCCAAGGACUCCCUUUUCUCCACAUCUUGCCAAUACUUAUCUUUCAUCAUCUUGGUAAUAGCUCUUCUAACAGGGAAUAUUGUGGUUUCAAUUUGCAUUUCCCUGAUAAUUAGUAAUGUUGAGCCUUUUUUCACGUAUCUGUUGGUGAUAUGUAUGUCCCUUUUUUUGAAAUAUCUAUUCAGGUCUUUUCACCCACUUUUUUAAUCAGGUCAUUUGGGGGUUUUUUGCUAUUAAAUUCCAUAUAGAUUUGGAUAUUGAUUCCUAAUCAGAUGCAUUGUUUGCAAAUAUUUUCUCACAUGCUGUGGGUUGUCUUUUCACUCUGUUGUUUCCUUUUCAGAAACUUUUAAAUAUGAUGUAAUCAUCCCAUUUGUCUAUUUCUGCCUUUAUGGCCUGCACUUUUGGGGUAGUAUCCAAUAAUUCAUUGCUCAGACCAAUAUCAUGGAGCUUUCCUCUUUGUUUUCUUCUAGUAGUUUUAUAGUUUCAGGUCUUAUACAUCGAGUAUUUCUCUAACACUUCUAUAAUGCUGACUGUAUUCCAAGCGCAGGUCAAAGCUCUUGACAUAUAUUAACAACUUAAAGCAACAACCCAAUGAGGCAGGUACUAGCCUAUUUCUAUCUUAUAUACUGAAGGAGACUAAAGCAGAAGCAGUUUAAGUGUUGUCCAAGGGUGCACAACUAGUAAGUGGUGGUGCUGGAAUUUGUACCCUGGCAGUUUGGCUUCAAAGUCUACCUGUGUUUUCACUUUAUUAUCUCUUUCCUUUUAAAUUACCUUUUUAUUACUAGUGCCUAGCAUAGCUCUCUGCAAAGAAUAAAUGAGUGCUAAUUGAAUAAGCCAAUGAAACAAUGACAUUUAUCAUGCUAAUGGUGAUGAUGAUGAAAAGAUACUGAUAAUAAUGAUUUAUAUUAAUUGAGUUGCCACCCAUACUAUGUUUCAUAAUUUGUAAGCACCAUAUCAUGAGAUCUUCUUUUUUUUUUAAUUACUAUACUUUAAGUUCUGGGAUACAUGUGCAGAACGUGCAGGUUUGUUACAUAGGUAUACAUGUGCCUUGGUGGUUUGCUGCACCCACCAACCCGUCAUCUAGGUUUUAAGCCCCGCAUGUAUUAGGUAUUUGUCCUAAUUCUCUCCCUCCCCUUGCCCCCAACCCCGCAACAGGUGCUGGUGUGUGAUGUUCCCCUCCCUGUGUCCAUACGUUCUCAUUGUUCAACUUCCACUUAUGAGUGAGAACAUGCAGUGUUUGGUUUUCUGUUCCUUUGUUAGUUUGCUGAGAAUGAUGGUUUCCAGCUUCAUCUAUGUCCCUGCAGAGGACAUGAACUCAUUCUUUUUUAUGGCUGCAUGGAAUUCUAUAGUGUAUAUGUGCCACAUUUUCUUCAUCCAGUCUAUCAUUGAUGGGCAUUUGGGUUGGUUCCAAGUCUUUGCGAUUGUGAAUAGUGCUGCAAUAAACAUACGUGUGUAUAUGUCUUUAAAGGAGAACGAUUUAUAA
rnacentral:lncRNA from 1 species